GAAUUGGAGCUCUCCCCGCCUCCGCCCCGCGUGUGCCGCCUCGCCGUGUCCAGUGGCAACCGGGCGCGUCCGUCCUCUCCCCGGGACAGACCCUCUGUCGGAAGAAAUCCAUGUCGCCCCCAGCAUCUCCAGAAGGCUGCUUCCAUCUUAACCAAAAGUUCAAGGCUACGUUCGGGAGGAGACAGCUGAGCACAGGGAGCCACUCACUGCACACAGAGGGAAGCCCAUCAGGGGACCAACAAGUCCCACUCACAUCUCCUUGGACAGAGGUGAAGGCUGAGGCUAGAGAGAGCCUGAGAGUGGGUGGGGGGCAAAAUCUGAACUCAGUGGCAUCUUCGAGUCUAUAGGCCUUAGAGCCGGCCUUAGCAGCAGGCACGUGGAAGGGACAGUGUGCGGAACAGUUAGGGCAGUGCCAGAGCUGCCCCCUACCAAGAGCUCUGAGCAGGUGGGGGGGGGGGGGGGGGGUCACUGCCCAGCGGGUCCUAGCUGGUACCCAGGCAGCACAGGCAAGAGAAACGGCAGCAAAGAGAGUGCUUGGCCCACGUUAUCAUUUCUUUUUGGUUUAAUGUCCUAGUUAAAAACUCCUUAUGCAUUCUAAGAUCAUUAAAAGUCUCUGUUUUCUUCUAGAA